rnacentral:misc_RNA from 1 species
UACAGAGGGUGCGAGCGUUAAUCGGAUUUACUGGGCGUAAAGCGUGCGCAGGCGGUUGUGUAAGACAGAUGUGAAAUCCCCGGGCUCAACCUGGGAACUGCAUUUGUGACUGCACAGCUAGAGUGCGGCAGAGGGGGAUGGAAUUCCGCGUGUAGCAGUGAAAUGCGUAGAUAUGCGGAGGAACACCGAUGGCGAAGGCAAUCCCCUGGGCCUGUACUGACGCUCAUGCACGAAAGCGUGGGGAGCAAACAGG